rnacentral:rRNA from 1 species
UAGGGAAUCUUCCGCCAUGGACGCAAGUCUGACGGAGCAACGCCGCGUGAGUGAAGAAGGAUUUCGGUUCGUAAAACUCUGUUGUUAGAGAAGAACAGCGCAUCGAGUAACUGUUAUGCGUGUGACGGUAUCUAACCAGAAAGCCACGGCUAACUACGUGCCAGCAGCCGCGGUAAUACGUAGGUGGCAAGCGUUGUCCGGAUUUAUUGGGCGUAAAGCGAGCGCAGGCGGUCAGUUAAGUCUGAUGUAAAAGCCCCCGGCUGAACCGGGGAGGAUCAGUGGAAACUGGUUGAAUUGAAUGCAAAAGAGGAGGGUGAUAUUCCGUGUGUAGCGGUGAAAUGCGUAGAUAUAUGGAGGAACACCGGUGGCGAAAACGGCUCUCUGGUCUGUAACUAACACGAAGGCUCGAAAGCGUGGGGAGCGAACAGG